rnacentral:rRNA from 1 species
UGGGGAAUUUUGGACAAUGGGCGAAAGCCUGAUCCAGCAAUGCCGCGUGUGUGAAGAAGGCCUUCGGGUUGUAAAGCACUUUUGUCCGGAAAGAAAUCCUUGGCUCUAAUACAGUCGGGGGGAUGACGGUACCGGAAGAAUAAGCACCGGCUAACUACGUGCCAGCAGCCGCGGUAAUACGUAGGGUGCAAGCGUUAAUCGGAAUUACUGGGCGUAAAGCGUGCGCAGGCGGUUUGCUAAGACCGAUGUGAAAUCCCCGGGCUCAACCUGGGAACUGCAUUGGUGACUGGCAGGCUAGAGUAUGGCAGAGGGGGGUAGAAUUCCACGUGUAGCAGUGAAAUGCGUAGAGAUGUGGAGGAAUACCGAUGGCGAAGGCAGCCCCCUGGGCCAAUACUGACGCUCAUGCACGAAAGCGUGGGGAGCAAACAGGAUUAGAUACCCUGGUAGUCCACGCCCUAAAACGAUGUCAACUAGUUGUUGGGGGAUUCAUUUCCUUAGUAACGUAGCUAACGCGUGAAGUUGACCGCCUGGGGAGUACGGUCGCAAGAUUAAAACUCAAAUGAAUUGACGGGGUCAUAGCUGUUUCCU